GCUGGUCGAUCCAAGCUAGGGAAUAGCUAUCCUUCUGACAUGCUUUAUUGAGAUUGAUGAAUUCGAUACAGAUUUAUCACUUGCCAUUCAUCUUCUUCAUCAGGAUCACAUUUGCAAUCCAAUCUAGAUAGAUCAUCUCCUGAUGAAGCCAUUUAACAUUGAGCAACUUGUCCACCUCUUCAACUAUUGCAUUUUGUUGUUCAGGUGCAAAGCUUCUCUUCUUUUAGCAUUGUCGCGCUAGGUCCUAAUCUUCUCUGACUUCAUCAACUCCAAACUCAGUUGGAAGCUUCAUCUUUAGAUGAUUGAUGGACACCACGGUUUGGAUUAUGGUGAGUCUUAAGUGUCUGUGGAUGACAUUGUAGGCCGAUGGUGCCCGAACCAUUAGAAAAUCCACUUGAGCUUUGGAUUGUCAAGGAGAUUGUCUAACUACUAUGGGGAGAGUAAUGACUCCUUCGACGGACAAUGCAUCUCCAGUA
rnacentral:lncRNA from 1 species